rnacentral:lncRNA from 1 species
UCCGUAUGUAGAUCCUUAAUGAAACCGCUUAAAAGACUUAUAUUUAGGAACGGAGGGAGUAGUUAAUAUAUAAGCUAGCCGUAUGGGCCUGGUCGAGCUCCAUUGCAAUCUCCACAAAGUGCCCAGAGAGGGUACGUGAGACAAUAUAGGAAGUGUCCAGAGAGCGUACGUGAGAAAAUCAUUAAUCCAAACACAAAUGAAAAGAUAAGGUCGAUUCAAAUUUUACAUCAGAAAAAAAAUCAACACAAAUCAGUGACGAUACUGAUCUAUAUCCCAACUUGGAUGCUCCAAUUUGAGAGAGAUCCGGUUUCUUUUCCCAAGGGGGAGGAGGAGAGAUUCCAUGGAGUGAGCGCACCAGAUUGACUCCCCAAUUUGCUUGCUACAAUUUGAGAAAUAUUGAUUUCUUUUCCGUGGGGAGGAGAGACCGUGGGGAGGAGGACACCAUGGGGAUGAGGAGAGACUAUGGCGUACGAUUGGUUUAGUUUUUU